rnacentral:rRNA from 1 species
UACGUAGGGUGCGAGCGUUAAUCGGAAUUACUGGGCGUAAAGCGUGCGUAGGCGGUUGGCAAAGUCAGCUGUGAAAAUCCCCGGGCUCAACCUGGGAAUUGCGUUGGAGACUGCAAGGCUAGAAUCUGGCAGAGGGGGGUAGAAUUCCACGUGUAGCAGUGAAAUGCGUAGAUAUGUGGAGGAACACCGAUGGCGAAGGCAGCCCCCCUGGGUCAAGACUGACGCUCAUGCACGAAA